rnacentral:rRNA from 1 species
AGAGUUUGAUCAUGGCUCAGAUUGAACGCUGGCGGCAUGCCUAACACAUGCAAGUCGAACGGUAACAGGCCUUCGGGCGCUGACGAGUGGCGAACGGGUGAGUAACGCGUAGGAAUAUACCUUUUUGUGGGGGACAACUCGGGGAAACUCGAGCUAAUACCGCAUGUGCUCUUAGGAGUAAAGCUGGGGACCUUCGGGCCUGGUGCAAAAAGAUUAGCCUGCGUCCGAUUAGCUAGUUGGUAAGGUAAAGGCUUACCAAGGCGACGAUCGGUAGCUGGUCUGAGAGGAUGAUCAGCCACACUGGGACUGAGACACGGCCCAGACUCCUACGGGAGGCAGCAGUGGGGAAUAUUGGACAAUGGGCGCAAGCCUGAUCCAGCAAUGCCGCGUGUGUGAAGAAGGCCUGAGGGUUGUAAAGCACUUUCAGUAGGGAGGAAGGCUCAGUGGUUAAUAGCUAUUGGGAUUGACGUUACCUACACAAGAAGCACCGGCUAACUCCGUGCCAGCAGCCGCGGUAAUACGGGGGGUGCAAGCGUUAAUCGGAAUUACUGGGCGUAAAGCGCGCGUAGGUGGUUCAUUAAGUUGGCUGUGAAAGCCCCGGGCUCAACCUGGGAUGGUCAGUCAAAACUGGUGAACUAGAGUACAGUAGAGGGGUGUGGAAUUUCCGGUGUAGCGGUGAAAU